ACAACACAAGAAAGAAGCCUUGUAAAUCAACUCUAUACUCAGCAUAAAGAAGGCCACUGACAAUCAACAGUCACAAACAACCGUGGCAUUUUAUUUCCAAAAA